rnacentral:rRNA from 1 species
UCUACGGGGGCAGCAGUGGGGAAUAUUGGACAAUGGGCGAAAGCCUGAUCCAGCCAUGCCGCGUGUGUGAAGAAGGCCUUCGGGUUGUAAAGCACUUUCAGUGGGGAAGAAAGCCUUGGGGCUAAUACCCUCGAGGAAGGACAUCACCCACAGAAGAAGCACCGGCUAACUCCGUGCCAGCAGCCGCGGUAAUACGGAGGGUGCGAGCGUUAAUCGGAAUUACUGGGCGUAAAGCGCGCGUAGGCGGUCUGAUAAGCCGGUUGUGAAAGCCCCGGGCUCAACCUGGGAACGGCAUCCGGAACUGUCAGGCUAGAGUGCAGGAGAGGAAGGUAGAAUUCCCGGUGUAGCGGUGAAAUGCGUAGAGAUCGGGAGGAAUACCAGUGGCGAAGGCGGCCUUCUGGACUGACACUGACGCUGAGGUGCGAAAGCGUGGGUAGCAAACAGGAUUAGAUACCCGAGUAGUC